rnacentral:rRNA from 1 species
GGGCCAUCAUGCCGGCACGGCGAUAGGGGACCUCGAGUGCUAGGAUACAAUCUUGGCUGUCGUGAUGCCUAAAAAGCAUUAUAUAGCAAGGGCCGGGCAAGACCGGUGCCAGCCGCCGCGGUAACACCGGCGGCUCGAGUGGUAACCGCUAUUAUUUGGUCUAAAGGGUCUGUAGCCGGCCGGAUAAGUCUCUUGGGAAAUCUGGCAGCUCAACUGUCAGGCUAUCAGGAGAUACUGUCUGGCUCGAGGCCGGGAGAGGUGAGAGGUACUUCAGGGGUAGGAGUGAAAUCCUGUAAUCC